rnacentral:rRNA from 1 species
UGCUUACCAUGCAGUCGAACGAUUAAAGCCCCUUCGGGGGUGUAUAGAGUGGCGAACGGGUGAGUAACACGUGAGCAACCUACCUCUCACACUGGGACAACGCGGGGAAACCUGUGCUAAUACCGGAUACUUCUUUUCUGUCGCAUGGCAGAAUCGAGAAAGCCUUUACGGUGAGAGAUGGGCUCGCGGCCCAUUAGCUAGUUGGUGAGGUAACGGCUCACCAAGGCAACGAUGGGUAGCCGGGUUGAGAGACCGACCGGCCACAUUGGGACUGAGACACGGCCCAAACUCCUACGGGAGGCAGCAGUGGGGAAUUUUGCGCAAUGGGCGAAAGCCUGACGCAGCAACGCCGCGUGCGGGACGAAGGCCUUCGGGUCGUAAACCGCUUUCAGUAGGGAAGAUAAUGACGGUACCUACAGAAGAAGCACCGGCUAAAUACGUGCCAGCAGCCGCGGUAAUACGUAUGGUGCAAGCGUUAUCCGGAUUCAUUGGGCGUAAAGCGCGCGUAGGCGGCUUGUUAAGCAAGGUGUUAAAUCCUGGGGCUCAACCCCAGCCCGCACCUUGAACUGGCAGGCUUGAGUUCGGUAGAGGAAAGUGGAAUUCCCAGUGUAGCGGUGGAAUGCGCAGAUAUUGGGAAGAACACCGAUGGCGAAGGCGGCUUUCUGGGCCGUAACUGACGCUGGGGCGCGAAAGCUAGGGGAGCGAACAGGAUUAGAUACCCUGGUAGUCCUAGCCGUAAACGAUGGGCACUAGGUGUGGGGAGAUGAAUCUUUCCGUGCCGCAGCUAACGCAUUAAGUGCCCCGCCUGGGGAGUACGGCCGCAAGGCUAAAACUCAA